rnacentral:misc_RNA from 1 species
GAUGAAGAACGUAGCGAAAUGCGAUAAGUAAUGUGAAUUGCAGAAUUCAGUGAAUCAUCGAAUCUUUGAACGCACAUUGCGCCCGCCAGUAUUCUGGCGGGCAUGCCUGUCCGAGCGUCAUUUCAACCCUCGAACCCCUCCGGGGGGUCGGCGUUGGGGAUCGGCCCUUUCACCGGGUGCCGUCCCCCAAAUACAGUGGCGGUCUCGCCGCAGCCUCUCAUGCGCAGUAGUUUGCACACUCGCACCGGGAGCGCGGCGCGUCCACGUCCGUAAAACACCCCAAACUUCUGAAAUGUUGACCUCGGAUCAGGUAGGACUACCCGCUGAACUUAAGCAUAUCAAUAAGCGGAGGA